UUUGAGUCUGCCCCUGAGUUCCAAAGGUUC
rnacentral:piRNA from 1 species